rnacentral:rRNA from 1 species
CCCCCCGUUAACCUAACACCAGAGCAUUCCAGGAAAGAUUAACAGAGAAGGAAGGAACUCGGCAAAUCUCUACCCCGCCUGUUUACCAAAAACAUCGCCUCUUGACCCCAUAAGAGGUCCAGCCUGCCCAGUGACAAAAUUCAACGGCCGCGGUAUCCUAACCGUGCAAAGGUAGCACAAUCACUUGUUCUUUAAAUAAGGACUCGUAUCAACGGCACCACGAGGGUUGCACUGUCUCCCCCCUCUAAUCAGUGAAACUGAUCUCCCCGUGAAGAAGCGGGGAUUCACCCAUAAGACGAGAAGACCCCAUGGAGCUUAAAACUAACAGCAACUCAAUUACACACCACCCACAACCCAUAGAGCCAUGCAUGCCAGUUUUCGGUUGGGGCGACCGCGGAGCAAAAAUUAGCCUCCACAACGAAAAAGAACUAAAUCUUUAUCCUAGAGCCACUCCUCCAAGAAUUAGUACACUAACGAUUAAUGACCCGACUAUCGAUCAACGAACCAAGUUACCCUGGGGAUAACAGCGCAAUCUACUUCAAGAGCCCCUAUCGACAAGUAGGCUUACGACCUCGAUGUUGGAUCAGGGUACCCCAGAGGCGCAGCCG